CGCCUGGGGAGUACGGCCGCAAGGUUAAAACUCAAAUGAAUUGACGGGGGCCCGCACAAGCGGUGGAGCAUGUGGUUUAAUUCGACGCAACGCGAAGAACCUUACCUGGCCUUGACAUCCAGAGAGCUUUCCAGAGAUGGAUUGGUGCCUUCGGGAACUCUGAGACAGGUGCUGCAUGGCCGUCGUCAGCUCGUGUCGUGAGAUGUUGGGUUAAGUCCCGUAACGAGCGCAACCCCUAUCCCUGGUUGCUAGCAGGUAAUGCUGAGAACUCCAGGGAGACUGCCGGUGACAAACCGGAGGAAGGUGGGGAUGACGUCAGGUCAUCAUGGCCCUUACGGCCAGGGCUACACACGUGCUACAAUGGCGCGUACAGAGGGCUGCCAACUCGCGAGAGUGAGCCAAUCCCUUAAAACGCGUAGUAGUCCGGAUCGGAGUCUGCAACUCGACUCCGUGAAGUCGGAAUCGCUAGUAAUCGCGAAUCAGAAUGUCGCGGUGAAUACGUUCCCGGGCCUUGUACACACCGCCCGUCACACCAUGGGAGUGGAUUGCACCAGAAGUAGUUAGUCUAACCUUCGGGAGGACGAUUACCACGGUGUGGUUCAUGACUGGGGUGAAGUCGUAACAAGGUAACCGUA
rnacentral:rRNA from 1 species